rnacentral:rRNA from 1 species
UACGAAGGGGGCUAGCGUUGCUCGGAAUCACUGGGCGUAAAGCGCACGUAGGCGGAUCUUUAAGUCAGGGGUGAAAUCCCAAGGCUCAACCUUGGAACUGCCUUUGAUACUGGGGAUCUCGAGUCCGGAAGAGGUGAGUGGAACUGCGAGUGUAGAGGUGAAAUUCGUAGAUAUUCGGAAGAACACCAGUGGCGAAGGCGACACACUGGCUCACUACUGACGCUGAGGCGCGAAAGCGUGGGGAGCAAACAGG